AUGCUGUGUCUGAAGAUUGUUAAAGUCGUGACCCAGACAGCCCUCCGCAUUCUCCUACCAGCGCUGGCUCGUAUCAUGGGGGUGAACCUGAGGAGUGGGGCAACCUCCCCAGAAUCCCAGUGCUCUCUGACAGGGUCUGAGGAUUCCUUAGGCAGUCUGGAUGAGAGAGAGAAAAGGCUGCUGAUCAGUGAGAUGAACUACUGGACUAAGGAGAGGAGGAGGAAUGGCAGUGCAGGAUGCCGCCAAAAAUCCACUCGCAGAACCUCAUCACCAUGCUGUUCGCCUAAGAGCGUUCCAAGAGAGGAAACAAAAAUGACUGCCAUUCAGUCCAGGACCAGACUGAGAUUCCCUCUACUGAUGGACAUUGCAUAG
ensembl:lncRNA